rnacentral:rRNA from 1 species
AUUGAACGCUGGCGGCAUGCUUUACGCAUGCAAGUCGAACGGUAACAGGGUGCUUGCACCGCUGACGAGUGGCGAACGGGUGAGUAAUGCGUCGGAACGUGCCGAGUAGUGGGGGAUAACGCAGCGAAAGUUGUGCUAAUACCGCAUACGUACUGAGGUAGAAAGUGGGGGACCUUCGGGCCUCACGCUAUUCGAGCGGCCGACGUCUGAUUAGCUAGUAGGUGAGGUAAAGGCUCACCUAGGCGACGAUCAGUAGCGGGUCUGAGAGGAUGAUCCGCCACACUGGGACUGAGACACGGCCCAGACUCCUACGGGAGGCAGCAGUGGGGAAUUUUGGACAAUGGGCGAAAGCCUGAUCCAGCCAUGCCGCGUGUCUGAAGAAGGCCUUCGGGUUGUAAAGGACUUUUGUCAGGGAGGAAAUCCCUAGUGCUAAUAACACUGGGGGAUGACGGUACCUGAAGAAUAAGCACCGGCUAACUACGUGCCAGCCGCCGCAGUAA